UAGGUGGAGAUUCCUGUACUAUGAUAUGACAGAACUGUGGGGACACGUGCAGAGAGCGGAAGCCGGGAAUGGGAUCCCGGUGCAAGCGAGGUACCAGAUGCGUUGGAAAAACCGCGCAUCAAUGGGAAGACGUGAUGCGGAGUGAAGUUUAGUAAUGAAGUCCGUGAGCUGUGCGUCAAGAAAAGCCGCUAUUGUUCAUACCAUACCCGUACCGUAAACCGACACAGGUGGAUGAGGAGAGAAUCCUAAGGCCGGCGGAAGAAGCAUUGUCAAGGAACUCGGCAAAAUGACCCCGUAACUUCGGGAGAAGGGGUGCCACUGAGAAGUGGCCGCAGAGAAUAGGCUCAAGCAACUGUUUAGCAAAAACACAGGUCUAUGCGAAACCGUAAGGUGAGGUAUAUGGGCUGACGCCUGCCCGGUGCUGGAAGGUUAAGAGGAGAGGUUAGCGCAAGCGAAGCUUUGAAUUUAAGCCCCAGUAAACGGCGGCCGUAACGAUAACGGUCCUAAGGUAGCGAAAUUCCUUGUCGGGUAAGUUCCGACCCGCACGAAAGGCGUAAUGAUUUGAGCGCUGUCUCGACGAUGCAUCCGGUGAAAUUGAAGUACCAGUGAAGAUGCUGGUUACCUGCGCCAGGACGGAAAGACCCCAUGGAGCUUUACUCCAGUUUGGUACUGGGAUCCGGUACUGCAUGUACAGGAUAGGUGGGAGGCUAAGAAAUGGUAACGCCAGUUGCCAUGGAGCCGCUGUUGGGAUACCACCCUUGCAGUAUUGGGUUUCUAACCAGCCGCCGUGACCCGGCGGUGGGACAAUGCCAGACGGGGAGUUUGACUGGGGCGGUUGCCUCCGAAAGGGUAUCGGAGGCGCCCAAAGGUUCCCUCAGGAUGGACGGAAACCAUCCAAAGAGUGCAAAGGCAGAAGGGAGCUUGACUGCGACACCGACGGGUGGAGCAGGUACGUAAGUAGGGCUUAGUGAUCCGGUGGUAUUAAGUGGGAAUGCCAUCGCUCAACGGAUAAAAGCUACCCUGGGAUAACAGGCUUAUCACUCCCAAGAGUUCACAUCGACGGAGUGGUUUGGCACCUCGAUGUCGGCUCAUCGCAUCCUGGGGCUGUAGUAGGUCCCAAGGGUUGGGCUGUUCGCCCAUUAAAGCGGUACGCGAGCUGGGUUCAGAACGUCGUGAGACAGUUCGGUCCCUAUCCGGCGUGGGCGUAGGAUAUCUGAGAGGAGCUGUCCUUAGUACGAGAGGACCGGGAUGGACGGGCCGCUGGUGCACCGGUUAGACUGCCAAGUCUAUAGCCGGGUAGCCAAGCCCGGAAGGGAUAAACGCUGAAGGCAUCUAAGCGUGAAGCCCCCCUCAAGAUGAGAUAUCCCAUCCGAAAGGAGUAAACCCCCUUGAAGACGACGAGGUUGAUAGGGCAGAGGUGGAAGUGUGGUAACACAUGGAGCUGACUGCUACUAAUAGGGUGAGGGCUUGACC
rnacentral:rRNA from 1 species